ensembl:lncRNA
CAACAUCGUACAUCGGGAGGACGCCAUUGUCCACAGACGGCCUGAGAAAUAAGAAUCACUAAUGUGACACUAGAAGAUGAAGGAUGAUACGAAUGUUUCAUCCCAAAGUUAAAGAGUCAAACAAGGUUUUCAGUUGUUUGUCUGAUUGUUGCUAAAAACAGGACAACAGAGAUGCCACUCAGUCCCAAAGAUGUCAAAACUCCUGCUCUGAUGGAACAGAUGGUUGCUAAAGGUCAAUAAAUUACUGCCACUCUUGGAGCUUUGCUGAAGGGAAGCUGAAAGGAAAUCCCACAUCUCUGUCAUUCAUUUGACAAUUACAACGAUCGGCUCCUACACAAGGGAAGGUUUCAUCGUAUGGACCGAAACAAACUGUAUUCAGAAAGUUACAGAAAGCUGUUUGAUUCUGAAUUCAUAAACUGUCUGAUGCCUUA